AUUGAACGCUGGCGGCAGGCUUAACACAUGCAAGUCGAGCGGGGUGAUGGUGCUUGCACUAUCACUUAGCGGCGGACGGGUGAGUAAUGCUUAGGAAUCUGCCUAUUAGUGGGGGACAACAUCUCGAAAGGGCUGCUAAUACCGCAUACGUCCUACGGGAGAAAGCAGGGGAUCACUUGUGACCUUGCGCUAAUAGAUGAGCCUAAGUCGGAUUAGCUAGUUGGUGGGGUAAAGGCCUACCAAGGCGACGAUCUGUAGCGGGUCUGAGAGGAUGAUCAGGCAAACGAGGACUGACACACGGCCCAGACACCUACGGGAGGGAGCAGUGGGGAAUAUUGGACAAUGGGGGGAAGCCUGAUCCAGCCAAGCGGCGUGUGUGAAGAAGGCCUUAUGGUUGUAAAGCACUUUAAGCGAGGAGGAGGCUCUUUUGGUUAAUACCCAAGAUGAGUGGACGUUACUCGCAGAAUAAGCACCGGCUAACUCUGUGCCAGCAGCCGCGGUAA
rnacentral:rRNA from 1 species